GACAGAGGCCUCAAGCGUUAGGCGGAAUCACUGGGCUUAAAGCGUGUGUAGGCGGAUCGUUAAGUGCCUUGUGAAAUCCCACGGCUUAACUGUGGAACGGCUGGGCAUACUGGCGGUCUUGAGCCACUUAGGGGCUACCGGAACAGAUGGUGGAGCGGUGAAAUGCGUAGAUAUCAUCUGGAACGCCAAUGGUGAAAACAGGUAGCUGGGAGUGUGCUGACGCUGAGACACGAAAGCCAGGGGAGCGAACGGG
rnacentral:rRNA from 1 species